rnacentral:misc_RNA from 1 species
GAACUGCGAUAAGCAAUGCGAAUUGCAGAAUUCCGCGAGUCAUCAGAUCUUUGAACGCAACUGGCGCUGAGGGGCUAUCCUCUCAGCAUGUUUGUCUCAGUGUGUUUGUUUCUCAAAUCACGCAGCUAAAUGCGAUUGAAGGGGGGAAUAAUACCUCUUCUCUCGUUAAAUUCGCGAAUGGGCUCAAGCGCUUGACUCGGCCCAAUGAAGCGGUCACUUUUUUCAAAGUGAACUCAUUGGAAAAAGCCUGUCUUGUGCAUUAAUAAUGUGCAAAAAUACACAUCUCAUUCUCUCAUAAACAAUCAAUCAAUCACAUCUACAUCAGCACCUGAGAUCAAGCAAGAUUACCCGCUGAACUUAA